rnacentral:rRNA from 1 species
GACGAACGCUGGCGGCGUGCUUAACACAUGCAAGUCGAACGGACAGGCCCUGCUUUUGUGGGGUGCUCGAGUGGCGAACGGGUGAGUAACACGUGAGUAACCUGCCCUUGACUUUGGGAUAACUUCAGGAAACUGGGGCUAAUACCGGAUAGGAGCUCCUGCUGCAUGGUGGGGGUUGGAAAGUUUCGGCGGUAGUGGAUCGACUCGCGGCUUAUCAGCUUGUUUGUGGGGUAGUGGCUUACCAAGGGUUUGACGGGUAGCCGGCCUGAGAGGGUGACCGGGGACAAUGGGACUGAGGUACGCAGCAGACGCGUACGGGAGGCAGAAGUGGGGAGCAUUGCGGAGUGGCGGGGAGCCUGAGACAGCAACGCUGCGAGCGGGAUGACGGGCUUCGGGUGAUAAACCGCUUUGGCCGUUGACGAAGCGGGAGUGACGGUAACGAAUAAGGAAGCAACGGCUAACUACGUG